rnacentral:rRNA from 1 species
UGGGGAAUAUUGCACAAUGGGCGCAAGCCUGAUGCAGCCAUGCCGCGUGUAUGAAGAAGGCCUUCGGGUUGUAAAGUACUUUCAGCAGUGAGGAAGGUUCAUGCGUUAAUAGCGUAUGGAUUUGACGUUAGCUGCAGAAGAAGCACCGGCUAA